AUUUGAAAAUAUGGAAAGUUUUCUAAACAUUUUGUUACCAAAUAAUAUAAAAUGUAUCAACAUGUAAAUUUCUAUUUUAUUAAAUUUAUAAACGAAAAUAAAUAAUUUAUUAUUAGUCUCUCUAAAUUUAUUAGUAUUUCAUCUUUAGUUACAAUAGCAAAUUAUAAUAACUAUCUCAUUAAAUGUAUUUUCAAAUUUCUCUUCCUUCUGAUCUGCAAAACUUUCAUAUCUUUAAAAUAACAAUCUUGUGUAGUCUUUGUUUUAAGUUACAAAUUUAACAUGUUCUGUGAUUAAGAAACCAAUAUCUAAAAUUAUUUCUAUGAGUCGGAACAAAAAACAAACUAAAUUUAUAAUUUAAAAUAGCUGGAAAACCAAAUGACGGUUUCUUUAAUCAAAAAACAUGAGCAGCUUGAUAUGUUUCGCUAUAGGCUUUAAUCGUUUCAUCCAUUUAUCUCUAUUCUUUUUUUGUGAAUGGUUUUGGAACCUCCAUCCAAACCAUCUUCCUCCUCAUAUUCAUCAGCAUGAUCGAUAGCUCAAAAGAUCUUUUUAUAAUUGUUGUUGUGUAUGGAGUUGAGGAUUUGGUUAUGAGCAAUCGUCUUCACGAUAUUAACUUUUGUUCAAUCAUUCAUUGGCCAUGAAAACAUUGUUCGUGUGAAUUUUUUGCUGACUCGUUACAAUCACAAUCUACGCAUAUCAUCUCUUUAUAUUUGUGAUGAAUUUGAAUAAUCAGUCUUUGCUUUAGUUCAGAAUCUCAUUCGAUACGCUUGUUAAACAAAUGCUAAUCGAAACAAGUAAGCAAACCAAAAAGGUGUGGACAAGUUUUUCGUAUGGUUGAUUCUAGCGACGUAGGGAAAGCGGCAAUUUGGAGUGAAUAUGUCUUACUUCCAUCCAUUCAUGGCAGUAAUAUUAUGUUCUAAUUGACUAGUUGAUACCCUUAAAAUAUGUAUAAUCUCUAAUAAGCUUUCUUCUUUAUUUCUCUACAUAAUGAAUGAAUUUCAUGAUGUUCACAUUGCUAAGCAUGUUUUAGGUGAUAUGAUUUGCACAUAAAAUUUUUUCAUAUGCAUAUGUUUUGCUCAUGUUUUGCAUAGUUAUGUUAUGCAUAAUGGACGCAUCUAUAUAUUUAUAAUUUACAAUUCAUUAUCAUGUAAAAGAUAAGUUUAAACCAUGAUUUUUUUUGUAAGAAAUGUUUUACCUUUUCUCUUCCUAGUGAUUUUCAAAACUUCCAUAUCUUUUUUUUUAAAAAAAAUCUUGUGUAGU
rnacentral:sRNA from 1 species